UGGGGUGUCGUCUAAUGGUAGGACACCGGGUUUUGGUCCCGGCAGUCGGGGUUCGACUCCCUGCGCCCCAGC
rnacentral:tRNA from 1 species